rnacentral:rRNA from 1 species
CSSGARAAWCGGUGCUUAUUCAUUAGGUACCGUCAUUAUCUUCCCUAAUAAAAGGAGUUUACACACCGAAAUGCGUCAUCCUCCACGCGGCGUUGCUGCAUCAGAGUUUCCUCCAUUGUGCAAUAUUCCUCACUGCUGCCUCCCGUAGGAGUCUGGACCGUGUCUCAGUUCCAGUGUGUCUGAUCAUCCUCUCAAACCAGAUAUCCGUCAUAGGCUUGGUGAGCCAUUACCUCACCAACUACCUGAUGGAACAUAGACUGAUCCCUUAGCGAAAAACUUUCCCGACUUACCUUAUAGUAAGAAGGAGUAUCCGGUAUUAAUCACCGUUUCCAGUGGCUAUCCCGAACUAAGGGGCACACUAUCUAUGCAUUACUCACCCGUGCGCCACUAAUCAGGAGAGCAAGCUCUCCAUCAUCGUUCGACUUGCAUGUGUUAGGCACGCCGCCAGCGUUCACUCUGAGCCAGGAUCAAACUCUAAUCGAAUUCCCGCGGCCGCCAUGGCGGCCGGGAGCAUGCGACGUCGGGCCCAAUUCGCCCUAUAGUGAGUCGUAUACAUUCAY